GAUGAACGCUAGCGGCAGGCUUAACACAUGCAAGUCGAGGGGUAGAAGGAGCUUGCUCCUUUGAGACCGGCGCACGGGUGCGUAACGCGUAUGCAAUCUACCUUUUGCAGAGGAUAGCCCAGAGAAAUUUGGAUUAAUACCUCAUAGUAUGUGAGGAGUGGCAUCUAUUUUCACAUUAAAGUCACAACGGCAAAGAUGAGCAUGCGUCCCAUUAGCUAGUUGGUAAGGUAACGGCUUACCAAGGCUACGAUGGGUAGGGUCCUGAGAGGGAGAUCCCCCACACUGGUACUGA
rnacentral:rRNA from 1 species